CAAGGAAGGCAGCAGGCGCGCAAAUUACCCACUCCCGGCACGGGGAGGUAGUGACGAAAAAUAACGAUACGGGACUCAUCCGAGGCCCCGUAAUCGGAAUGAGUACACUUUAAAUCCUUUAACGAGGAUCAAUUGGAGGGCAAGUCUGGUGCCAGCAGCCGCGGUAAUUCCAGCUCCAAUAGCGUAUAUUAAAGUUGUUGCGGUUAAAAAGCUCGUAGUCGAAUCUGUGUCGUGCGCCGCCGGUUCAUCGCUCGCGGUGUCAACUGGCGUGUCGCAGGACGUCCUGCCGGUGGACUUAGCUUCGUUUCGGCGAGGCGGUCCAACUUCAACAAUCCCACCGCGGUGCUCUUCGCUGAGUGUCGAGGUGGGCCGGCACGUUUACUUUGAACAAAUUAGAGUGCUUAAAGCAGGCUAAAAACUCGCCUGAAUAUUGUGUGCAUGGAAUAAUGGAAUAGGACCUCGGUUCUAUUUUGUUGGUUUUCGGAACCCCGAGGUAAUGAUUAAUAGGAACGGAUGGGGGCAUUCGUAUUGCGACGUUAGAGGUGAAAUUCUUGGAUCGUCGCAAGACGAACUUAAGCGAAAGCAUUUGCCAAAAACGUUUUCAUUGAUCAAGAACGAAAGUUAGAGGUUCGAAGGCGAUCAGAUACCGCCCUAGUUCUAACCAUAAACGAUGCCAGCUAGCGAUCCGCCGACGUUCCUCCGAUGACUCGGCGGGCAGCUUCCGGGAAACCAAAGCUUUUGGGUUCCGGGGGAAGU
rnacentral:rRNA from 1 species